rnacentral:rRNA from 1 species
UGGGGAAUUGUUCGCAAUGGGCGCAAGCCUGACGACGCAACGCCGCGUGGAGGAUGAAGACCUUCGGGUCGUAAACUCCUUUCGAUCGAGACGAAUGGCCUCCGGGUGAAUAAUCCGGAGGAGUGACGGUACCGAGAGAAGAAGCCCCGGCUAACUCCGUGCCAGCAGCCGCGGUAAUACGGGGGGGGGCAAGCGUUGUUCGGAAUUACUGGGUGUAAAGGGCUCGUAGGUGGCCAACUAAGUCAGACGUGAAAUCCCUCGGCUUAACCGGGGAACUGCAUCUGAUACUGGAUGGCUUGAGUUUGGGAGAGGGACGCGGAAUUCCAGGUGUAGCGGUGAAAUGCGUAGAUAUCUGGAGGAACACCGGUGGCGAAGGCGGCGUCCUGGACCAAUACUGACACUGAUGAGCGAAAGCCAGGGGAGCAAACGGG